GAGAGGCGUUGGUGUUUAUUUUGGUCCCACUUUCGAUUCUGCGGGGAACGAAGCGAGACGACGAGAAGGACUAAGGAAGAGCAACUAGGAGGAGGUAGAUUUUGUAAAACUAGAGGCUAUGGCGUCUAUUUGCCUCUCAAUUUGCUCGACCUCGAAACCCUUAGUGGUGCCUUCUACCUCUGCUGCAGCCGUUGCAUCUUCUUCUUCACCGAGCUGCCUUGGUUGCCGGUGCUCUCUCCUUUUCUCCACGGCAAUGUUUGGCUCUGGACGCUUGCUUUCUUCUACUACUAGUAGUAAUACCAAUCGGAGCCGGCGACAAAAGAAAGUGGUUUGUAUGGCUCCUGAUGAAGAAAAAUUGACUCGUCGAAAUCCUCUCGAUUUCCCUAUCGUACGUUUCUCCCUUCUUCUUUUCAAUUUUAUAUUUGAAUUGCAUGUUUUCGAAAUUAUUUCUUGUUUCAAAUUGUGCUUCACUGAUUAUCUUCUGAUUAUGUGUUUUUGCUAUAUUGAUUAUCUUCUUAUUAUGAUGGUCCAUAUUGAGAGCUGUUUGAUGCUAUGGCUACUUUAUUUAGUUUUUAAAUAUACAAUCAGAUUAGAUACCGGAAAAGGGAGAUUUAAGAAAUAAAUCUUUUGGUUGGGAAUUUAGCUCUUAAUCAAUCAGAAAUGAGAUAUGGGUAUGUGUUGCAUGGUACUCAAUAUCUAUGGAAUCAAUCAGCUAAAAAGAUUGGUAUAGCCAAUGCUAAGACUAGUAAUUUUUCUUUUUUUUUGAACCCUUAAUCUGAUUGAGAAGCUUACAGUUAAUUCUUUUUUUUUUUCUUAGUUUGGUCAUAUUUUUAGAAACUGCUUAACAAUUACUGUAAAAAAUUGACUUGGAACAAAACUCAGCCUGAUGGUCCACUAAAAUUUAGCCUCACGUUCUGAGCACUAGUUAAUAAGUGAAGAAAAUUGAAGUCUUGGAAUUUUUUUCCUUUCUUAGCCAUUAUGAAACUAAAAUGUAAAAUAACCGUGGAACCAACUUGAAUGAGUAGAUUGAUGUUUGAAGAUACAAAUUGAAGUUAAUUGACUCUACCAAAAUUUAGUGACCAUGAUUGAAAUAAUGCCUAUACUAUUAAUAAGUUUGGAAUUGUUACAUAUUUUAUUUUCUACAACAAAACCAGGAUAUUCUACAUGUAUAUGACGUAUUUAGUUUGACUUGUUCAUCUGUCCUAUUAUAUUUUUAAUAUUCAUAUCACAUCACUGGUAUAAUGCAAUAAUGACUCCUAAAAGUUCAGUGUUUACUACUUGAUGGCCAUCCGGUACAAGCCAGGAAACAGCCUAUUUGCUAAGUAGGGGUAAGGCUGCAUGCAUCAACCAUCUCCAGAGCCCACAAGUCUUCUUGCACUCAGAUCUUUACGGCUGUCUACAAUCUCUAUAUUGGAGAUUGAUGCCUUCUCUAAUCAUGCAUGGGGCUGUGUUAGUUCCACUACAAUGAUGCUGUUAUGUUGUGAGAAGAAAAAAUUGAAAUUAAUCAUGCAGAGUUGCAAUGUAAAUGCAUUUUGAUGCUGCCCUUUUAGGGAGCAUUAGGUAGUAAUUAAGUCAAGUUUGUACUGAUAUUCUAUGUAAAACAGUUGACAUAGCUUCAACCUUUAGCCUUGAAGGCUUACUUGAACUUUUCUGAAAGGAUAUAAGUGCACUGGUUGAAUGUUUCUCAUUUUGAAAUAGGGCUGUUUCUCCCUUCUUGGAUUUGUUAACAUUCAUAUCUACCCAUUCCUAACAGAAAAAUUUAUACCUUCUUGUUCCUAUGGUCCUUCAAAUGCUUGGGCUCUCUGUGAAGAAAGCAUAUGGUUGCUUGUGGCGUUUUUGGUUGGUUUGGUACUUAGGUUUGCUUGUCAUGAGAAUAACAAAAUAGCAAUUAGAUAUAAUGUAAAACUUCCUAGAGAUAUCAUGAUUUUGAGAAUUGUCUGUAGCGGGUCUAUUGUUUAAUGCUUACUGUUUGACGUAGUACAGUAAAAUUAUAAUUUGUGAUUUCACAUUGCAGGAGUGGGAAAGGCCCAAGCCGGGACGCAGACCUGACAUAUUUCCCCAGUUUAGCCCUAUGAAAACACCAAUACCACCCCCAUUGCCAUAUGAUCCUCCUGAAGAAGAU
rnacentral:misc_RNA from 1 species